UGUAUUCGCAAACGAUGCUCCUGGGCAGGCCAAUCGGUUGGGAUUUGCUCUCGGGAACCAGGACAUUCAAGUGUAUCCAUAUUUUAUGCGUAUUUGAUCAAGCCCAGUUUACAGGGGAAUUGGAGCCGAAAUAUAUAGCCAAACCAAAUUGGAUUAAUCUUGAUAAUAGGUUAAGGUGCAUGAAUUGGCUGGCAUUUGCUUCUUUAAGAAAAGGGAGUGUUUUUAGCAAAUUUAUACAUAACCAACAAAGUAACAAUUCAUUAAUAACUCCUAAAUUGCAUUAAUACUAAAGCUGACACAUUAAUUAAAAAAUGUUGUGUGAAGCACUCUUACAAAUUAAGUAAAUCGUUAGCAAUGCACUUCAGCUUUGCCCAUAUUUAGCUAAAUUGUUAUACCUAUCAGUUCACAAUUAUCAAAAUCAUUCGAGUGCUGGGCAAACUCUAAUUUUCAUGCAGAUAAAGUGAAGCGCAUAAGCGGCGAAACUGGGUGAAGCGGAAAUACAAAGGCGUUGGGAAAAGCCAAGCGAAAAGUUGGUGGAAAUGCCAAAUGCGAAACGAAGCGAAAUCGCCUCGGGGCCAAGCCUAUGCAAAUGCGAUCCGAAAGCGAGAGCUCAUGCGACUUACACAUGCAACGGCUGGCUGACAACGACAGAAAUACAUGGGAUAAAGCUGCAGAUGUUCUCAAAAUAGUAGUAGCACAAAUCAAAUCAAAUAAAUGGAAUUAAAAAUAGG